AGGCAACUCCAACGCGGGUCUGCUCCAAGACGAAGUUCUCAUCAAUUGGAAAUUAAGUUUAGGAGAAAAGCCUACCAGCAACUAACCUCCUGCUUUUCCAGCCCCGAUUUCACUCAAGUCCUCAAGGGGACGUUUUCCCAAAGUACACCGCAGUGCCACUUCUGGAAGAUGACAAGCGCCCUGCCAUGUUAGCCACCUCCCAGGACCCAGACUAAGAAAUGGGGGCGCUCGGGAAAGUUUCCCCAAGGCCCGAUCCGCGCCGGAAGAGGCGUUUUCGGGAGUGAGUAUUGCUGUGGCAGGCGCCAGCCUUACUCACCGCGACCGGGCGGCCGUGCUCCGGGCCGUCCGCUGCGUCCAGGCGCGCGGCCGCCGGGGCCGAGGCGGGGGCCGGAGCGGCAACCGGGGCCGUGGCGGCGGCCGGCGGCUGCCGGUGCUUGCCGGCGCGCUUGGCCUUGGCCUGGAUGCAGCGCUGGUGCAGGGCAAAGGUGUGCUGGCGCUCGAGCUCCAGGCGCUCGGGAGACACAGCCUCGUAGCGGGCCUCACAGGUGCUGUGGUGGCGCCGGCACAGUUCGAUGCGCCGGCGGAGGCGCUCCAUGACCGCGCUGUGCCGCGGCAGCGCGAACUCCGCCAUGGGGCAGGUGGGUAGCACCAUGGGCCGCGGGCGGCACUGGCCGGGCCCGGGCCUCCCGGCGCCGGCUGCCACUUCGGGUUCCUCCGCUUCUGACGGCCCGGAUCCGCCUCACGCCCGCGCCAUGUCCGGCCGGGCUGUGGAGCGGGCUCGGGCGCGGCGGCGGGUCUUCCUCCGGCCCCGCUCGGCCCGAUUCCAGGCCGGGGAACACCGCCCGCCUCAGGCUUCGGCCUGUCCGCUAUACCCCUGCCCCAUUGUUUUCCGCGCCGCUGCCGCCGCCAUCUUAAAAUUGUUUUCGGGGCUUUCGGAAGAGGGCGGGGCCUGGGCCGGCGAACUCUGCGUCACUGCUGAUGGACCGAAGCUCUAGCCAAUCAAAGGAAACCCGCUGCCCGAGGGCGUGGGGGACAAGCACGUCAGGAAUUUUCGGGUAUUUAAACUGAACACUCUGGCGAGGAGGGAAGCCCGAGGCGGGCUCAGUGCGGGAGAGUGAACUGUGACUGACGGGAACCUAUCCAAGAAGAGCCACGUUUUCUGAACACCGCCCCCUGAAAGCAGUCCCUUCCGGGUUCGUGAGGAACGCGGGUUAAGUCUGAGUGAGGUGGAAGCCUUAAGACCCAGAUGUCCAAAGCUGUCUAUCUUUUUAGUCCACCCACACUAUUUCGAGGUCAGCCAUUUCCGACCUCAUUCUUUACAUACAGCCACGUAAUUGAUCAGAAUUGUUUUGAGCUUGAGCGACCUAGUAGAGAUAGUUAUCACUGACUGGUACUGUGAGCAAUAGCUCAUUACUUGGAGGGGUGAGGGUGGGAAAGAGCCUCAAUACUGGGGACUGGAGUUAUUUAGAUCUACAGGGGCAUACACUUAAAAACCGACUGAUAUAUAAAAUUGAGUCACUCAAAAUCCAAUCCAAAGCACUGGGUUCCAGUGAUGCCACUAGCAAGCAAGUGAGCGAAGGUAAAAAGCCAGGAAAGGACCAAAAAAUGUUCUGGAUGGUUACUGACACCCAAACUGCCAUAGGAGAUGCUGGGAGGCUUUGCAAUAGAAGACCUCACGAGCCACUCAAACAUGUCACCCUUUAACCUCUUACUAGAGUUCAUUAAAGUUUUAUUUUUAAAAUC
rnacentral:lncRNA from 1 species